GCACUAGUGGUCUAGUGGUAGAAUAGUACCAUGCCAUAGUACAUACUCAGGUUCAAUUCCUGGCUCGUGCA
rnacentral:tRNA from 1 species